AUAUAACGAAGGAAAUAUGGUGCUCUAUGCUUAGUAGUUGGCUAUAGAGCUUAAUAGGGAAGUUCGGUGCAAUUCCGUCGCGGUCCCGCCACUGUAAAUGAAGAGUAUCUCGUCAAAAUGCCACUGGAUAAUCAAUGAUCUGGGAAGGCGACGAGGAACGAUGACUCAUGAGCCAGGAAACCUGCCAAUUUCUUAAGUUUCUA
rnacentral:ncRNA from 2 species